rnacentral:tRNA from 1 species
GGGCGCUUAGCUCAGUCUGGAUAGAGUGCUUGGCUUCGGACCAAGUUGUCGGGGGUUCAAAUCCUCCAGCGCUCA